GCAGAUGUGGCAGAGUGGUAAUGCGUCGGCCUUGAGAGCCGAUUCGCCUUCAGGCGAUCAGGAGUUCGAAUCUCCUCAUCUGCG
rnacentral:tRNA from 1 species